CUACGACGCUCACGCUGAAUGUGCCCGACCUCAUUGCAUCUCAGAGGCUGUGCAGGGUUAGGCCUGGUUAGUACUUGGAUGGGUGACCACCAGGGCUUGAUGGAGCUGCGAGGU
rnacentral:rRNA from 1 species